rnacentral:rRNA from 1 species
CAAUAGCGUAUAUUAAAGUUGUUGCGGUUAAAAAGCUCGUAGUUGGAUUUCUGCUGAGGACGACCGGUCCGCCCUCCGGGUGAGCAUCUGGUUCGGCCUUGGCAUCUUCUUGGUGAACGUAUCUGCACUUGACUGUGUGGUGCGGUACCCAGGACUUUUACUUUGAGGAAAUUAGAGUGUUUCAAGCAGGCAUACGCCUUGAAUACAUUAGCAUGGAAUAAUAAGAUAGGACCUCGGUUCUAUUUUGUUGGUUUCUAGAGCUGAGGUAAUGAUUAAUAGGGACGGUUAGGGGCAUUAGUAUUCAACAGUCAGAGGUGAAAUUCUUGGAUUUGUUGAAGACUAACUUCUGCGAAAGCAUUUGCCAGGCACGCUUUCAUUAAUCAGGAACGAAAGUUAGGGGAUCGAAGAUGAUUAGAU